rnacentral:tRNA from 1 species
GGAAAAGAGGGGAGUCUAACCCCUAUUAGUGGAUUUACAGUCCAUCGCCUAGCAUUCGGCCACUCUA